GAGAGAGAGAGAGAGAGAGAGAAAAAGAGAGAGAAAGAGGACAAAAACAAGUAAGAUAGUAAAGUGUGCAAUCAACUGGUUAUUCUGUUGGUCUCAAUGAUUUUCAUCAUGUUUUGGCUCCUCUCCUUACCCACUAAGGGCUGAAAGCUGUUUCCCUUGGGAGCAUUGUAUCAUGUCAUAUCAUCAAUAUUACCUCAGCAGACAUAGGCACAGGACAACAUCUUCCAUGGCCAUGUGCAGCUGCCUCCCUGCCCCAUUUUCACAAACCCCUUCUCUGGGCAACAGACAAUCAUUUGGAGCAGAAAUGUAUCAUUUACUUUAAGUAAAUAACAUUUGUAGGAAACUCUUUUCCAACAUCAUAAUGCUUCUGUUAUUUUUCCCCACCACACAUGCGUUAGGCCCUAACCUACUCCUAUCUGAAGCACACCCUUCACGUAUGCUGCUUUCUCUAACAAGGUGACAAAUCAGCCAGAAUGUGAUAAUUUGGGUUGUUUAGGCAGAAAUACAAGGUAUCCCAGCCAAGGCACACACAGUGUACUAUGAAUCAUCCACAGUUGCUCUCAGGACGGUAGAACAAUUGCCCAGUUCCUUCCUACAUUUGCACAGCAUAGACCUGGCUCAAGACCCAAAAGUGAAACAGCAAGUGUAAGAAGUAGACACAUUAUAAAUAACCCAGAGAGCCCUUUUAUAACAGCAACUGCCUGCUGAUCCUGUGGUCUAACAGCUCAAGCAAAAGAAAGGCUAGAAAUACAAUAUUGUGCAAUGACUAAGUCCUCAAAAUUUGGUGCAUCCGCACAAGUGGAAUCUAUGGUUGGUUCUGUUAUCACGUGCAUUUGCUGUUAAUCUGGGAGGCCUAUGUUAUUUAGGAGGCAAUUUUCACAGAGAAGAAUGAUUUUAUUUCAAGUACCUCUCACUGAAAUAAAAAAGCAGUUGUUGGAUGAGCAUUUGGCAGAAAAUAUUUCAGUAAAGCUUUUGCAAGAUACUGUCAUAGUGAAUUAACUGUUUUCUGUUGAGAAUAGUGGAGUGACGGAGAAAAAUGACUGCUGACCAUACAAGGCAAAGCCAGGCUUUAGAAGCUAGGGAAUCACUAGUGGACAUUUUAGUUUUUAAGUGGCAUUUAUUCAUUGAUAUGUAAAGUUAUUCAUAUACAAAGGCUUCAUUAAUGUUGCCUUAAGAAUGGGCCCUUUUUAUUCCAUUCGUAGCCUGAACUCAAGAUUCCGAUCUCUUCCAUUAGUUAUAGAAUAAAUUAAUCUCCCAGAGACAUUUUAGGCAGAAUGAGGAUUUUAGGCAGUUUUCAUUCUCCAUAGGACAUGCUUCUAUGUGACUAGCCAGACAGCAGAGCAGUUCGUGAGGGCUGUGGCUGAAAGGAGCGCCUGCCAAGUAUAGCACAGGACCUGACAAGAACCCACAUCUCAGGUCCUGACAAAGCCGUGGCAGACCAUGGCCCAUCCUUGCAUGCCCUGAUUGAGUGACCCUCAGGUGUUCUUCGGGCUGGCCAAAGCAAAUAGCUUUUCUACAGUUUGCACUCCUGGCGUGGAGGAUAUGAUGGGUAAAGAUAAAAGGAAGGGAAAGUUUUCAGAAAUGACUGUGGAUUACUCACAGAUUGGGGCUCA